CAGUCGCCGCGGUAAUACGUAGGUGGCAAGCGUUGUCCGGAACUAUUGGGCGUAAAGGGCUCGCAGGCGGUUUCUUAAGUCUGAUGUGAAAGCCCCCGGCUCAACCGGGGAGGGUCAUUGGAAACUGGGAAACUUGAGUGCAGAAGAGGAGAGUGGAAUUCCACGUGUAGCGGUGAAAUGCGUAGAGAUGUGGAGGAACACCAGUGGCGAAGGCGACUUUCUGGUCUGUAACUGACGCUGAGGAGCGAAAGCGUGGGGAGCGAACAGGAUUAGAGACCCGCGUAGUCCCUGUCUCUUAUAC
rnacentral:rRNA from 1 species